rnacentral:rRNA from 1 species
AAAAACAUGUCCUUUUGUUUAUUUAUAUAAGGUCUAGCCUGCCCAAUGAGUUUUUGAAUGGCCGCGGUAUUUUAACCGUGCUAAGGUAGCAUAAUCAUUUGUCUUUUAAUUAAGGGCUGGCAUGAAGGGCUGGACGAGGUAUAUACUUUCUUUAAUUUAAUAAGUGAAUUUAAUUUUUUAGUUAAAAAGCUUAAAUUCUUUUGUAGGACGAGAAGACCCUAUAGAUCUUUAUAUAAUAUUGUUAUUAAAUGGUUAUAGUUAAUAUUGUGUUUAAUAAUUAAUUGUAUUUUGUUGGGGUGACUGUAGAAUAUAAAUAACUUCUAUUAAUUAUAUUUCAUUAAUUGGUGUUUUAUUGAUCCAAUGUAUUAUUGAUUAAGAGAUUAAGUUACCUUAGGGAUAACAGCGUAAUUCUUUCGAAGAGUUCUUAUCGAUGAAAGAGAUUGCGACCUCGAUGUUGGAUUAAAAUGAGCGGUUAGGUGUAGUAGUUUACUUGCUAGGUCUGUUCGACCUUUAAUUUUUUACAUGAUCUGAGUUCAA